rnacentral:rRNA from 1 species
AUUGAACGCUGGCGGCAUGCUUUACACAUGCAAGUCGAACGGCAGCGCGGGCUUCGGCCUGGCGGCGAGUGGCGAACGGGUGAGUAAUACAUCGGAACGUGCCCAGUAGUGGGGGAUAGCUCGGCGAAAGCCGGAUUAAUACCGCAUACGACCUGAGGGUGAAAGCGGGGGAUCUUCGGACCUCGCGCUAUUGGAGCGGCCGAUGGCAGAUUAGCUAGUUGGUGGGGUAAAGGCCUACCAAGGCGACGAUCUGUAGCUGGUCUGAGAGGACGACCAGCCACACUGUGACUGAGACACGGCCCAGACUCCUACGGGAGGCAGCCGUGGGGAAUUUUGGACAAUGGGCGAAAGCCUGAUCCAGCAAUGCCGCGUGUGUGAUGAAGGCCUUCGGGUUGUAAAGCACUUUUGGCGGGAACGAAAAGGACUGUGCCAAUACCACGGUUCGAUGACGGUACCCGCAGAAUAAGCACCGGCUAACUACGUG